UGGGGAAUAUUGGACAAUGGGCGCAAGCCUGAUCCAGCCAUGCCGCGUGAGUGAUGAAGGCCUUAGGGUUGUAAAGCUCUUUCGUCGGGGACGAUAAUGACGGUACCCGAAGAAGAAGCCCCGGCUAACUCCGUGCCAGCAGCCGCGGUAAGACGGAGGGGGCUAGCGUUGUUCGGAAUUACUGGGCGUAAAGCGUGCGUAGGCGGCCUUUCAAGUUGGGUGUGAAAGCCCGGGGCUUAACCCCGGAAAUGCGCCCAAGACUGUUUGGCUAGAGACCGGGAGAGGUGAGUGGAACUCCCAGUGUAGAGGUGAAAUUCGUAGAUAUUGGGAAGAACACCAGUGGCGAAGGCGGCUCACUGGACCGGUACUGACGCUGAGGCACGAAAGCGUGGGGAGCAAACAGG
rnacentral:rRNA from 1 species